rnacentral:lncRNA from 1 species
GCACACAUCACCAUCUAGUUUUUUUUUUUUCUUUUUCUUUUUCCUUUUUUUUUUUUUUUUUUUUUUUUUAGAUGGAGUCUUGCUCUGUCUCCCAGGCUGGAGUGCAGUGGUGCCAUCUCGGCUCACUGCAACCUCCACCUCCCAGUUUAAGUGAUUCUCCUGUUUUAGCCUCCUGAGUAGCUGGGAUUACAGGUGCCUGCCACCACGUCUGGCUAAUUUUGUAUUUUUAGUAGAGAUGGGGUUUCACCACAUUGGCCAGUCUGGUCUUGAACUCCAGACCUCAGGUGAUCCACCUGCCUCGGUCCCAAACUGUGGGGAUUACAAGUGUGAGCCACCGCGCCUGACCCCUAGUGGAUGUUCUCUUUUUUUGGUUUUUGUCCUCCCCGGACCGCCCCCGCC